AUCUCUCUCCUGUUUAACUGCCAAACCAGCAAGUUUCCCACCUGCCAUCCUGUUCCAUGUAACAAGUUUUCAAAGCUUUAAAUCAGAGAAAUUCAAGCUAGAUUAGGAGGCCUGCACCAAUCUGGGACACAAGAGUGACACAAGUCCCCUAAUUACUGGGUGGAGGCAGCAACAGGCAGCUGCUGUUACCAGUGGGAUGGUGUUACCCUGGCAACUGUUCUGCCCAACUCCUGCCCUCCCAGUGCCAACUGCAGUCGUCAUGGAAACCGAUGUCACUGCUGAUGUGGAACAAAAGCUGGGAAACUGCAGCAAGCGCCUUCUGAACCAUCCAGUCUCCUUCUCCCACCCUCCCUUCUACACACACAGGCCAAGCACACUUGGAUCAUGGAGCAGAGAGGGGUUUGCCUCCUUUAAAGCCAUGGUAAAACAAUACAUCUGCCCCAGAAGAUGGGUCUGUCACCAUCUCCUGUGCAGAAGAUGGUGCUGGUGCCUCGGGUUUCUUCACCAGGGCAGUCCUGCAGAAAAGGAAAUUGGACAGAAGAUCUGCAGCUCCCACCAGUAAUACAUGUAAAAACAUCUGCAAAGCCACUAAGAAGGAAAAAUCAGCCCCUGCUUGGGAUUUCAGGACUGUUUUGCCUCCUGUGCUCCUGGAAACUGCCUUCCCCAUAUGUGCCCAUGGGGAACAAUGUCUGAGGCAUCUCCUCAAAGAAAGAUCAGCCUUUUUUGUUUUAGACAGAUAAUGAGCUACACUACAUCAGAUUUGUAUGGCACAGAAUCCUCCCGCUUUAGAGACAGCUAUGAGAGGAAGAGAUUAGGAAGAAAUUGCCCCAUCAGUACUUUAUUCCAUCCUUGUCCAGUAAUGACUUUCACAGUAAGCUAUCAGCCACUAUCCAGUCAGACACACAGGACAAGUUUGACUGGAUCCUGUUCCUCCUGCCACUGAACCUUCACUAAAGUCCCUCAAAAUCUCCUCUUGGCUUUCAUAUUCAUCACUAUGAUUUCAUAGUCUGGCAUUCAGCUUCUGACAGAGCAUAUUAUUGCACUUCUGUGAGACAUUCAUGGUAACACUUAUCUGAGGAAAUUAAAGCACUUCCUAACUAAGACAAA